GGCCGGGGUCAGCGGGCGCGGGGAGCGGGCGGUGGCCGCUGCCGUGCCGCGCUCAGGUGCGGGGGUGUCCGGCGGCCGCGUCCCGGCCGUGCCCCGGGGCAGCGGGGCUGGGAAGGGGUGCCAGCGUCGCGUCAGGGACUGAGGAACCUGCUGCAGUGUGACAGAGAAAAAGAUAGUCCAGUACUUUUGUCACAUCCUUUUCUUUUGUACUUGCUGGUUGAAACACAGUUCCAGCAACCUUCACAUCAAAAAGUGGGAGGGAAAAAUAAUGUCCAUACCUCUUGGAGAAAGUAGAGGUGGCACAGCAACAGUGUGGCACAGCAAAAAUGUUGCUUGGUCCAGAAAUGAGAAGAACUGUGACAGGAGAAUAAAGCUUGUAGGGUGGUUUCAUCUGUACCAUCUGUGGGCCAUAUUGCACAUCAGAUGGCAGGAUAAAAUCUGCAAUGAGAACGUUUUGGGACAUAAAAGUCUUUCAGGGUUUGAAGCCAUGAUAUUCACAACACAAAUGUGCAGAGCCACUCAUGUAUCUGAAACAGAAGACAGAGAAUGCCAAAGCAGCUGCUGCAGUGAAAUAAAAGAGAGACCACACAGUUGGGGGAACAUGAUGGCAUCAAGAACAAAAGGACAUUUGAGAGAACAAGAAAGCGCAACUUCAAGCAGUGAGAAAUUGAAGUCAAUCAUUCAGAAUUAUUGACAGCAGAUACACAGUCUCACAGCAAUAAGAGACUCACUUUGGGAAUCAAGGUCAAUUAAUACUGAGGUAAAGAGGCAGCAUCCAAAAAGGCACAUUGUUUAGCAAACAGCAUUUUCUGAUUGCUGACUAGGCAACAUUAAAAAAAAUUGUCUAUCACAGGUUGGGUUUUGGUAAUUUUCGUACUCACAAGGCAAGAUACCAUUACCUUUAUUCUGUUGUAAAGGACUACUGUAUAAGAACACUAUAUGGUACUACACUUUGUGUGAGGAUUGGUGGGGCCACUGCCCAGUGGAAAACAGAAGUUCAUAGGCAUCAUUCAGACCUGAGCCUUCAUUGUAUAUUGCAUUUCACUCUGCACAUAAGUGAAAAUCUCUUCACUUUCUUCAUAUUUUCUGGGUUUGAGAGUAAUAGGGAUAAGGCCCUUUAUGAUAUAGUGCUCUGGAAAUCUGUUUCCUUCUUCCAAGCCAUAAAGGUAAACUUCCAACAGAUUUCAACCUUUUUCCUCAGUCCUACUAGCAAAGGUUUUAAGUUCAUCUUAAAUCAUCAUCUGAACUGCAGCUUGUGUUUAUUGUUUUCAUGACUGUUACAUUUAAAUAUUCACUGAUAAUCUGAUAUAUCCAACCUUGGGAAUCAGCUUUCAAAAAACACAAAGAAAUCAACAAAUAGUCACAAAAGAGAACUCUCUGCUUUAUUUUCUUAUUAUUUGUGAACUAUUGCUUUCAUACAUAUUAAACCCAGUAAUUUCUAUCCUGUUUUAGUAUCAAUGUUUUAGUUGAUCCAGCCUAUGAAACCUUUGGUAAU